rnacentral:rRNA from 1 species
CGGCGGACGGGUGAGUAAUGUCUGGGAAACUGCCCGAUGGAGGGGGAUAACUACUGGAAACGGUAGCUAAUACCGCAUAACGUCGCAAGACCAAAGAGGGGGACCUUCGGGCCUCUUGCCAUCGGAUGUGCCCAGAUGGGAUUAGCUAGUAGGUGGGGUAACGGCUCACCUAGGCGACGAUCCCUAGCUGGUCUGAGAGGAUGAUCAGCCACACUGGGACUGAGACGCGGCCCAG